UACAGAGGUCUCAAGCGUUGUUCGGAUUCAUUGGGCGUAAAGGGUGCGUAGGUGGCGCCGUAAGUUCAGGUGUGAAAAUUUCGGAGCUUAACUCCGAAACUGCAUUUGAUACUGCGGUGCUUGAGGACUGGAGAGGAGACUGGAAUUUACGGUGUAGCAGUGAAAUGCGUAGAGAUCGUAAGGAAGACCAGUGGCGAAGGCGGGUCUCUGGACAGUUCCUGACAGCUGAGGCACGAAGGCCCAGGGGAGCAAACGGG
rnacentral:rRNA from 1 species